rnacentral:ncRNA from 1 species
AUCCCGUCCCGGAAGGUUAGUCAGCCACCGGGUAGCGAGUCUUUGGAGGGAAGGGGGCAACCCCUGACUUUAAGCGUAAGACAGCAAGCAGAUAGGCCGUAAGCCAAUGGGUUGAAGGGAUUGAGCCUCGAAAGCGCGUUAUUAGAAAGGACGACGGAGUGACUAGUUCGGAAGUCAACAUGAACACUUGCGAUAGGGCGAGUCAGUGUUCACUUUCUCGGGGUCGGUGACC